rnacentral:tmRNA from 1 species
GGGGGCGAUCGGUUUCGACGGGGUAUGAGAUGUGUCGAGCUGCACGCGGAGGAUGACAGUCUCCUCCUUAAUCAUCUGUCACAACAAUAAAUGCCGAUAACGGCUACAUGGCUGCAGCUUAGUCUAGCAGCUCGUUCCUGCUCCGAUUAACCUAUGGUCUAAGCAUGGAACGUCAUUAACAUAGGUUCGUUUCAAAUAUGCCUACUACUUUGAAAUUAAACUUAUGUAGGCUGGUCUUACCUGAUUUUUGUCACUGAUAAAAGGAAAGAUGAGAAAAAUAAUCAGAUGGCUAAGCAUGUAGACGCUCUUCAUUACUUUUCUUCGGACGGGAGUUCGAUUCUCCCCGCCUCCACAC